rnacentral:rRNA from 1 species
AACGCGAAGAACCUUACCCAGACUUGACAUGUACAGGACGAUAGCAGAAAUGUUAUUUCCCUUCGGGGCCUGUACACAGGUGCUGCAUGGCUGUCGUCAGCUCGUGCCGUGAGGUGUUUGGUUAAGUCCAGCAACGAGCGCAACCCUUAUUACUAGUUGCCAACACGGUAAAGGUGGGAACUCUAGUGAGACUGCCCGGGUUAACCGGGAGGAAGGUGAGGAUGACGUCAAGUCCGCAUGGCCCUUAUGUCUGGGGCUACACACGUGCUACAAUGGUCGGUACAGAAGGCAGCGAAGCCGCGAGGUGGAGCAAAUCCAAAAAGCCGAUCUCAGUUCGGAUUGCAGUCUGCAACUCGACUGCAUGAAGCUGGAAUCGCUAGUAAUCGCGGAUCAGAACGCCGCGGUGAAUACGUUCCCGGGCCUUGUACACACCGCUAGUC